ACGACCCGAAAUUUAUUAUUCGUUAUUUAAUUAUUUUAUUAUGCGAGGGCGUAAUUCAUAAUUAUUUUAUUAAGCGGCGAAUAAUUAAUUGGCGCGAAUAUAAGUUAAUACGCGAGUUAGGAGCGUUACGUGAGCGAAACCAUGUUAAGUGGGCUUGAAGCCCAAUGGGCCAAGGCAAGGGAAAGGGGGGCGGUUUAUGAUGCAAGUGGGAGGAGAAGAUAUUUUCUUCUACUUGGUUGGUAAGAAAAUUCAAUAAAGGUGGAAAGGAGAUAAGAACAAGAGAAAAAUCACAAAGUUCAUUCAUCCUUCUUCUUCUCUCUUCUUUGGCCGUGGCAUUUCUUUAUCAUUUCCCUUCCAUCACAAAUUUUCAUUUCUUCACCAAAUUGAUCCAUUAGAAGCUUGUUGGAAUCAUGGGAGUUCAAGGAUCAUCAUCCCUAAGCUAGGGCAAGCAAGAGAGCAAAGCAAGAGGGUGCUAGGGCUUGAGAAAGAGAGGAGCUCAUGAGAGCUAGAACAUGAGGAGCUUGAGGAUUCAUCAAAUUUCUAAGAUAUCCAGGUUGACAGGUUAUAUGUUAGCUUGUCCGAGUAGCGUGGUGAAGCUCCGCUCUGAUUGUGACACGGGGAGAAAAGGGGUUUUGUAUAUAUAUAUAUAUAUAUAUAUAAAUUCCUUUAGAAAAUUACUCUGUAAUUGCUUAUGUUUUCAUAUAAGAAUUAUUCUUUGUGAAAAGUAUUGGUUUUGUAUAACUUAUAACGCAUCGUGUUGAUGCGGAGGAUUUUGUAUUUUGUGAUAUUCAAACCAGCGCUUUAUAAUCAGAUUUUCAA